CUCUUUCAGCUUCUUCAAAAAAAUUCCAUGUAACUAAAACAAUAGGAUUUCUAUCUUCAGCAAAUGAAAAUGAUAUGAUAAAUAUCAAUUGAAGGACCAAUAUUUUUAAAACUGAAAAUUCCAUUCUUGAAGCUGAUCUCUAAAAAAUAUUAUAAAUAGAUUACAUUCAUCUGAAAUAAUAUUGAAUGUUAAAGGAAUUAAUUAUCUGUAAACUUUCUUUUUCAAGUUUUGAAUGAUCUCGUUGAUGCUGCGCAGUUGAAGAAAUCGAAAUCUCGGAUUUUUCAGAUGAUGUCAUUGCGACCUAAUUUUUUUAAAAAAAAUUUAUACUUUCAGAAAUGAUUCUAUAUAAAUUUAUUUCGAAGCUGAUUGUUAAAAUAAUAUUAUUAAUUAUACUUUUUGAAAGAUGAAAUAUCAAUUUUCAAGAAUAAAAUCUGCAAAAUUUUAUUUAUUUAUACAAUUUGCAUUGUAUAAAAUUUUUUUGUUAUAUCACUUCUACAGAAUUUUUUAAAAAUGAUUUGAUUUUAAUGUAACAUUUUCAAAAAAAUUUAAUAAAUGUUAAAAAUUUUAAAGCAAUAAAAAGGCGCGUGUAAAAAAUUGAAUCCUUGAAAAAAUAUCGAUUAGUCGAACAAUAAUAAAAAAUUAUCAUUUAACAACUCUGAAUAUAAAAAAAAAUUAUAAAAUUUAGUUUAAUAAACGGGAGUCAUGAAAAAGCUCUAAAACAAAUUUUUUGAGCCACAUGGCUAAUUUUUUUGAAAUUAUUUUUGAAUCGAAUUUUAUUCUGUAGAUUAUUAUAUUUGCAGAAUAGUAAUUUAAUAAAUGCAUCUUCAAUUAGCAGAAUAUUAAUUUGGUCGAAUUUUCAUUUUAUAGAAUAAAUUUUUAAAUAAUUAUCAAUGUUGCCGAAUUUUUAUUUAGACGAAAAUUAAUUAACCAGAAAUUCAAUUUGAUCGAAUCCUCAAUUUGUGCGAAACCAAAUAAAUUUAUCUAUAAAAUUAAUAUUCGAACAAAUAAAUAUUCUGCAAAAGUAAUAUUCUACAGAAUAAGAUUUUAUAUUACAUCAUAUGAUUCUAAAUAAAUUUGUUUUGGUGCUUUUUUUUAUUUAUAAAAGUAAAUUUCUAAUUUUUGUUUAUAAAUAUAAAAAAAAAUUAUUUAGAAUUAAUUUUAAUUUUUCAUUGCGACUAUAAUUCAUUAAUUAUCUCAAAAAAUUAUAAAUAUGAACCUCGACAAUUGUAUGUACAAUUUGUAUUUAGUGCCUUUAUUCUAUAAAUAUUUUCAAAUUAUUAAAUUGUUAUAAAUAUUACAAUUAAUAAGG